AUUGAACGCUGGCGGCAGGCCUAACACAUGCAAGUCGAACGAGCCGCGGACGGGUGAGUUAUGCCUGGGAAUUGCACUGUCGAGGGGGAUAUCAGUUGGAACCUACUGCUAAUACCUCAUACGAUUGGAUUGCCCAGGUGGGAGUAGCUAGUUGGUGAGGUAAUGGCUCACCAAGGCGACGACCCCUAGCUGGUCUGAGGGGAUGAGCAGCCAAACUGGGACUGGGACACGGGCCAGACUCCUACGGGAGGCAGCAGUGGGGAAUAUUGCACAAUGGGGGAAAGCCUGAUGCAGCCAUGCCGCGUGUGUGAAGAAGGCCUUCGGGUUGUAAAGCACUGUCAGCGAGGAGGCGUUACUCGCAGAAGAAGCACCGGCUAACUCCGUGCCAGCAGCCGCGGUAAUUC
rnacentral:rRNA from 1 species